rnacentral:rRNA from 1 species
ACGCUGGCGGCGUGCCUAAUACAUGCAAGUCGAGCGGACCAAGGGGAGCUUGCUCCUGGAGGUUAGCGGCGAACGGGUGAGUAACACGUGGGCAACCUGCCUGUAAGACUGGGAUAACAUCGAGAAAUCGGUGCUAAUACCGGAUAAUAAAAAGAACUGCAUGGUUCUUUUUGAAAGAUGGUUUCGGCUAUCACUUACAGAUGGGCCCGCGGCGCAUUAGCUAGUUGGUGAGGUAACGGCUCACCAAGGCAACGAUGCGUAGCCGACCUGAGAGGGUGAUCGGCCGCACUGGGACUGAGACACGGCCCAGACUCCCACGGGAGGCAGCAGUAGGGAAUCUUCCGCAAUGGACGAAAGUCUGACGGAGCAACGCCGCGUGAGUGAUGAAGGUUUUCGGAUCGUAAAACUCUGUUGUUAGGGAAGAACAAGUGCCGUUCGAAAGGGCGGCACCUUGACGGUACCUAACGAGAAAGCCACGGCUAACUACGUG